rnacentral:rRNA from 3 species
GGGUUGUGAGGUUAAGCGACUAAGCGUACACGGUGGAUGCCCUGGCAGUCAGAGGCGAUGAAGGGCGUGCUAAUCUGCGAUAAGCGCCGGUAAGGUGAUAUGAACCGUUAUAACCGGCGAUACCCGAAUGGGGAAACCCAGUGUGACUCGUCACACUAUCAUUAACUGAAUCCAUAGGUUAAUGAGGCGAACCGGGGGAACUGAAACAUCUAAGUACCCCGAGGAAAAGAAAUCAACCGAGAUUCCCCCAGUAGCGGCGAGCGAACGGGGAGGAGCCCAGAGCCUGAAUCAGCAUGUGUGUUAGUGGAAGCGUCUGGAAAGGCGCGCGAUACAGGGUGACAGCCCCGUACACAAAAGCGCAUGUGCUGUGAGCUCGAUGAGUAGGGCGGGACACGUGGUAUCCUGUCUGAAUAUGGGGGGACCAUCCUCCAAGGCUAAAUACUCCUGACUGACCGAUAGUGAACCAGUACCGUGAGGGAAAGGCGAAAAGAACCCCGGCGAGGGGAGUGAAAAAGAACCUGAAACCGUGUACGUACAAGCAGUGGGAGCACAGGUUUACCUGUGUGACUGCGUACCUUUUGUAUAAUGGGUCAGCGACUUAUAUUCUGUAGCAAGGUUAACCGAAUAGGGGAGCCGGAGGGAAACCGAGUCUUAAUUGGGCGUUAAGUUGCAGGGUAUAGACCCGAAACCCGGUGAUCUAGCCAUGGGCAGGUUGAAGGUUGGGUAACACUAACUGGAGGACCGAACCGACUAAUGUUGAAAAAUUAGCGGAUGACCUGUGGCUGGGGGUGAAAGGCCAAUCAAACCGGGAGAUAGCUGGUUCUCCCCGAAAGCUAUUUAGGUAGCGCCUCGUGAAUUCAUCUCCGGGGGUAGAGCACUGUUUCGGCUAGGGGGCCAUCCCGGCUUACCAACCCGAUGCAAACUGCGAAUACCGGAGAAUGUUAUCACGGGAGACACACGGCGGGUGCUAACGUCCGUCGUGAAGAGGGAAACAACCCAGACCGCCAGCUAAGGUCCCAAAGUCAUGGUUAAGUGGGAAACGAUGUGGGAAGGCCCAGACAGCCAGGAUGUUGGCUUAGAAGCAGCCAUCAUUUAAAGAAAGCGUAAUAGCUCACUGGUCGAGUCGGCCUGCGCGGAAGAUGUAACGGGGCUAAACCAUGCACCGAAGCUGCGGCAGCGACGCUUAUGCGUUGUUGGGUAGGGGAGCGUUCUGUAAGCCUGUGAAGGUGUGUCGUGAGGCAUGCUGGAGGUAUCAGAAGUGCGAAUGCUGACAUAAGUAACGAUAAAGCGGGUGAAAAGCCCGCUCGCCGGAAGACCAAGGGUUCCUGUCCAACGUUAAUCGGGGCAGGGUGAGUCGACCCCUAAGGCGAGGCCGAAAGGCGUAGUCGAUGGGAAACGGGUUAAUAUUCCCGUACUUGGUGUUACUGCGAAGGGGGGACGGAGAAGGCUAUGUUGGCCGGGCGACGGUUGUCCCGGUUUAAGCGUGUAGGUGUGUGUUCCAGGUAAAUCCGGUUCACUUUAACACUGAGGCGUGAUGACGAGGCACUACGGUGCUGAAGCAACAAAUGCCCUGCUUCCAGGAAAAGCCUCUAAGCAUCAGGUAACAUCAAAUCGUACCCCAAACCGACACAGGUGGUCAGGUAGAGAAUACCAAGGCGCUUGAGAGAACUCGGGUGAAGGAACUAGGCAAAAUGGUGCCGUAACUUCGGGAGAAGGCACGCUGACAUGUAGGUGAAGUGAUUUACUCAUGGAGCUGAAGUCAGUCGAAGAUACCAGCUGGCUGCAACUGUUUAUUAAAAACACAGCACUGUGCAAACACGAAAGUGGACGUAUACGGUGUGACGCCUGCCCGGUGCCGGAAGGUUAAUUGAUGGGGUCAGCGCAAGCGAAGCUCCUGAUCGAAGCCCCGGUAAACGGCGGCCGUAACUAUAACGGUCCUAAGGUAGCGAAAUUCCUUGUCGGGUAAGUUCCGACCUGCACGAAUGGCGUAAUGAUGGCCAGGCUGUCUCCACCCGAGACUCAGUGAAAUUGAACUCGCUGUGAAGAUGCAGUGUACCCGCGGCAAGACGGAAAGACCCCGUGAACCUUUACUAUAGCUUGACACUGAACAUUGAGCCUUGAUGUGUAGGAUAGGUGGGAGGCUUUGAAGUGUGGACGCCAGUCUGCAUGGAGCCGACCUUGAAAUACCACCCUUUAAUGUUUGAUGUUCUAACGUGGACCCGUUAUCCGGGUUGCGGACAGUGUCUGGUGGGUAGUUUGACUGGGGCGGUCUCCUCCUAAAGAGUAACGGAGGAGCACGAAGGUUGGCUAAUCCUGGUCGGACAUCAGGAGGUUAGUGCAAUGGCAUAAGCCAGCUUGACUGCGAGCGUGACGGCGCGAGCAGGUGCGAAAGCAGGUCAUAGUGAUCCGGUGGUUCUGAAUGGAAGGGCCAUCGCUCAACGGAUAAAAGGUACUCCGGGGAUAACAGGCUGAUACCGCCCAAGAGUUCAUAUCGACGGCGGUGUUUGGCACCUCGAUGUCGGCUCAUCACAUCCUGGGGCUGAAGUAGGUCCCAAGGGUAUGGCUGUUCGCCAUUUAAAGUGGUACGCGAGCUGGGUUUAGAACGUCGUGAGACAGUUCGGUCCCUAUCUGCCGUGGGCGCUGGAGAACUGAGGGGGGCUGCUCCUAGUACGAGAGGACCGGAGUGGACGCAUCACUGGUGUUCGGGUUGUCAUGCCAAUGGCACUGCCCGGUAGCUAAAUGCGGAAGAGAUAAGUGCUGAAAGCAUCUAAGCACGAAACUUGCCCCGAGAUGAGUUCUCCCUGAGACUUAGAGUCUCCUGAAGGAACGUUGAAGACGACGACGUUGAUAGGCCGGGUGUGUAAGCGCAGCGAUGCGUUGAGCUAACCGGUACUAAUGAACCGUGAGGCUUAACCUUACAACGCCGAAG